GUUGCUCAUGACUUGUAUGCCACUGGGUGUACGUUCAUAGCUGGUGCUGUUGCUGGUGCAUGCAGCCGCACGUGUACUGCGCCUCUAGACCGCAUAAAGACGAUU
rnacentral:ribozyme from 1 species